CGGCGUUGCUGGCCCGCCUCCGGGGCGGGCCGGCGGAGGCACCCGGGGCGUGCGCUCUGCAGCCGGGGUGUGCGCUCUAGAGCCAGUCACCGGCUCCCAUGGCUGUUCAGUGAGGUCCAGAGGGGCUGAGACAUGAACUGCAGUAUUAGGAGGAGCUCCUUGGGCUCCAUGGGGGCCCCACUGCUGCAAUUAAAGCUCCAGCUGCUGACAGCACAUAAUAGAGAGAAGCGAGUGUCCAGCCCGAGCCCAGCUGCGUGGUUACAGCUUUUGUCAGUAGAGGGAGUAUGGACACCUGGGUUAAAGCCACACAGGUCACCCCCGGCAUCCAAGGGAACUGACUUUCUCCUAGAAUUCCUCUUUUGUCUGCAGAACCAGCCUCCCUGGGAGCCCUUGUGUGCUUGCACCUGCAGCUGGGGCUGGUAUGAGCAUCACCUUUUCUCCUGUGUGUCAUGGUCUUACUUACAUUAGUGACCGUAGCAGGGUUCUGUUUGCCUCCAGGGAGGACACAGCCUUCACCUUUUCACUGAGGAAGCUGAGAAAGUGACUCUGUGCAUGACUUCCUGCCAAACACAGAUGUUGCAAAGGGCAUCCUGCAGGGCAAGUGCUUGCUGGGGCUCCCCUGUGUAAGGGGAAGGAUCUUAAUGAAGAAGAAGGAACCUAAUGGCUCUGUGAGCUUUCUGCUUGAAGACUCAGCCCCAAGCUGGUGCAGAACAUGGGGAGUGAUUUGGGGGCUCUGCUGAAUGGUGUAAUCCAAGAGUUUGAAAUGGAGGUAGACAAUCUGGGUUCAUCCAUUCUUUUACCAGUGUUUUCAGAUGUGACAUUUGAUCUCUGUUUCCCAUAAAAAUGGGAAUGCGGACUGGCUUGAUUUAUGUUUAUCAGAAACUUCAAAAGAAAUGUGCAACAAAUUUGCUAUAAAGUGGAUUGUACUUUUUAAUGUUACAGUAUUGCUUGAUUCUGGUUUGACACCAUGUAGCCAUGAUACAGCACAAUACUGCCAGAGUGUAUCCAGCAUUUGUACUUCCUUGUGCUCAUUCCUGCAUUAGCAGUCUGGGAACAUUCUCCACUGACUGCCCCUAAUUAGUACUGCAUGACAUUAUGCAACCCAUUUCAGCUGUAUCUAGUCUCUUAAAUGCUGGGCAAAACUCAAUCAGAGACCUUGUUUGGCUGACUGCAACAGAAUAAAUCUUAACAUUUCUCUACAUUCAUUCUGUACAUGCCACAGAUGGA